rnacentral:rRNA from 1 species
UAGCUAGUUGGUGGGGUAAAGGCCUACCAAGGCGACGAUCGGUAGCUGGUCUGAGAGGAUGACCAGCCACACUGGAACUGAGACACGGUCCAGACUCCUACGGGAGGCAGCAGUGGGGAAUAUUGGACAAUGGGGGCAACCCUGAUCCAGCAAUGCCGCGUGUGUGAAGAAGGCCUGAGGGUUGUAAAGCACUUUCAGUGGGGAGGAGGAUUGUUUGUUUAAGAGAUGAGCAAUUGGACGUUACCCACAGAAGAAGCACCGGCUAACUCCGUGCCAGCAGCCGCGGUAAUACGGAGGGUGCAAGCGUUAAUCGGAAUUACUGGGCGUAAAGGGUGCGUAGGUGGUUAUGUAAGUUAUGUGUGAAAUCCCUGGGCUCAACCUGGGCAGGUCAUAUAAUACUGCAUGACUCGAGUGUGGGAUAGGGUAGUGGAAUUUCCGGUGUAGCGGUGAAAUGCGUAGAGAUCGGAAGGAACACCAGUGGCGAAGGCGGCUACCUGGCCUAACACUGACACUGAGGCACGAAAGCGUUGGGAGCAAACAGGAUUAGAUACCCUGGUAGUCCACGCUGUAAACGAUGUCAACUAGCUGUUGGUUAUAUAAAAAUAAUUAGUGGCGC